AAGCAUGGGUAGCGAAGAGGAUUAGAUACCCUCGUAGUCCAUGCCGUAAACGAUGUGUGUUAGACGUUGGAAAUUUAUUUUCUGUGUCGCAGCGAAAGCGAUAAACACACCGCCUGGGGAGUACGACCGCAAGGUUAAAACUCAAAUGAAUUGACGGGGACCCGCACAAGUAGUGGAGCAUGUGGUUUAAUUCGAAGAUACGCGCAGAACCUUACCAACACUUGACAUGUUCGUCGCGACUUUAAGAGAUUAAAGUUUUCGGUUCGGCCGGACGAAACACAGGUGCUGCAUGGCUGUCGUCAGCUCGUGUCGUGAGAUGUUGGGUUAAGUCCCGCAACGAGCGCAACCCUCACUUUUAGUUGCCAUCAUUUAGUUGGGCACUCUGAAAGAACUGCCAGUGAUAAGCUGGAGGAAGGUGGGGAUGACGUCAAGUCCUCAUGGCCCUUACGUGUUGGGCUACACACGUGCUACAAUGAUAUCUACAACAGGAAGCAAAACGGCGACGUUAAGCAAAUCCUUAAAAGAUAUCUCAGUUCGGAUUGCACUCUGCAACUCGAGUGCAUGAAGCUGGAAUUACUAGUAAUCGUGGAUCAGCGUGCCACGGUGAAUGCGUUCCCGGGUCUUGUACACACCGCCCGUCACACCAUGGGAGUUGGUUCUACCUUAAGGCAAGGUUUAAAACCCUUGACCACGGUAUAGUCAGCGACUGGGGUGAAGUCGUAACAAGGUAACCGUA
rnacentral:rRNA from 1 species